UACAGAGGGUGCGAGCGUUAAUCGGAAUUACUGGGCGUAAAGCGUGCGUAGACGGUUGCAUAAGUCGGAUGUGAAAGCCCCGGGCUCAACCUGGGAAUUGCAUUCGAGACUGUGCAGCUAGGAUGCGGAAGAGGGAAGCGGAAUUUCCGGUGUAGCGGUGAAAUGCGUAGAUAUCGGAAGGAACACCAGUGGCGAAAGCGGCUUCCUGGUCCAGCAUCGACGUUCAGGCACGAAAGCGUGGGGAGCAAACAGG
rnacentral:rRNA from 1 species